rnacentral:rRNA from 1 species
AGAGUUUGAUCCUGGCUCAGGACGAACGCUGGCGGCGUGCCUAACACAUGCAAGUCGAACGGAGUUGAAAGGAGCUUGCUUUUUUCAACUCAGUGGCGGACGGGUGAGUAACGCGUGAGUAACCUGCCUUUCAGAGGGGGAUAACGUUCUGAAAAGAACGCUAAUACCGCAUAAGAUUGUAGCUUCGCAUGGAGCAGCAAUCAAAGGAGCAAUCCGCUGAAAGAUGGACUCGCGUCCGAUUAGAUAGUUGGCGGGGUAACGGCCCACCAAGUCGACGAUCGGUAGCCGGACUGAGAGGUUGAUCGGCCACAUUGGGACUGAGACACGGCCCAGACUCCUACGGGAGGCAGCAGUGAGGGAUAUUGGGCAAUGGGGGAAACCCUGACCCAGCAACGCCGCGUGAGGGAUGACGGUUUUCGGAUUGUAAACCUCUGUCCUCUGUGAAGAUAGUGACGGUAGCAGAGGAGGAAGCUCCGGCUAACUACGUGCCAGCAGCCGCGGUAAUACGUAGGGAGCAAGCGUUGUCCGGAUUUACUGGGUGUAAAGGGUGCGUAGGCGGAUUGGCAAGUCAGAAGUGAAAUCCAUGGGCUUAACCCAUGAACUGCUUUUGAAACUGUUAGUCUUGAGUGAAGUAGAGGUAGGCGGAAUUCCCGGUGUAGCGGUGAAAUGCGUAGAGAUCGGGAGGAACACCAGUGGCGAAGGCGGCCUACUGGGCUUUAACUGACGCUGAGGCACGAAAGUGUGGGUAGCAAACAGGAUUAGAUACCCUGGUAGUCCACACUGUAAACGAUGAUUACUAGGUGGGGGGGGGUCUAACCCCCUCCGUGCCGGAAUUAACACAAU